rnacentral:rRNA from 1 species
AUUGAACGCUGGCGGCAUGCUUUACACAUGCCAGUCGAACGGCAGCGCGGGCUUCGGCCUGGCGGCGAGUGGCGAACGGGUGAGUAAUGCAUCGGAACGUGCCCAGUAGUGGGGGAUAGCCCGGCGAAAGCCGGAUUAAUACCGCAUACGACCUGAGGGUGAAAGCGGGGGACCGAAAGGCCUCGCGCUAUUGGAGCGGCCGAUGUCGGAUUAUCUAGUUGGUGGGGUAAAGGCUUACCAAGGCGACGAUCCGUAGCUGGUCUGAGAGGACGACCAGCCACACUGGGACUGAGACACGGCCCAGACUCCUACGGGAGGCAGCAGUGGGGAAUUUUGGACAAUGGGGGCAACCCUGAUCCAGCCAUGCCGCGUGCGGGAAGAAGGCCUUCGGGUUGUAAACCGCUUUUGUUCGGGAAGAAAUCCUCUGGGCUAAUACCCCGGGGGGAUGACGGUACCGGAAGAAUAAGCACCGGCUAACUACGUG